rnacentral:tRNA from 1 species
GGGGUUGUGGCUCAGUGGUAGAGUGUUUGCCUAGCAUGUGUAAGUCAAUGGGCUCAAUCCUCAGCACCA